CCGACGGUGAGGGGCGAAAGCUGGGGGAGCAAACCGGAUUAGAUACCCGGGUAGUCCCAGCUGUAAACGAUGCGCGUUAGGUGUGUCAGUGACCACGUGUCACUGAUGUGCCGAAGGGAAACCGUGAAACGCGCCGCCUGGGGAGUACGGUUGCAAGGCUGAAACUUAAAGGAAUUGGCGUGGGAGCACCACAACGGGUGGAGCCUGCGGUUUAAUCGGACUCAACGCCGGAAAUCUCACCGGAUAA
rnacentral:rRNA from 1 species